CUGAGGUAGGGGUUACACUCAGGCAUUUUUGUCUAUCUUGCUAACCCUUGGUUUCCUCUACCCUAGUGUUUAUUUUAAAUGUGGUAUCAGGAAUCAGAUGGACAGUUGAAAACGAGUCCAAAAAGUAGCUUUCUCAAACAGAUUUGAUCAGAGAGGUCUAGACAUAAAAUACAGCUUGCCAAUGAAUGGAGCAAAGGAAGGAGGUGAAUUAGCUUUAAUUCUACCCUUUUUGUACCUCACCUUUUUCUUACUCUAGUUUUCUCCCAUUCUUUUGAUCUCACUUUGCCCCUCCCUUGCUUCCCAUCCCAGGCCAGUAGAAUGGUCUCUUUCCUGGGCCAUUUCUCACCUCUGAAGUGUAAUUGCUGGCCCCCAGCCCUGCUCAAGAGCACAGCAGUCAGAAAGCAUUAGUGACAAGGGAAUACAAUAUAAAUUUUUGUUUAUAAGGCUAAAAUAAAAUGUUCAUUGUUGAUAUCCUACCCCGCUCCUACUACUGUACCUUAUUGAACAUUGGUUUCCCCUUUUUUCCCUAAUAAUUUGAACUGUGAAACUCUCUUUCCUAUGCUCCCAAAUCAUUCCUCUUCCAUUCAAUUUAGCUCUCUUGUCCGCUCUCUGAGUCUCUGUACUAGUUCAUCUGGGUAUCUCCUUUUUUUCUGAGUAUGGCUUUUCUAUGUGUGCAUCUUUAUUGUUUGCUAAUACUGUCUGUCUUGCCUUUGACUCUCAGUCUCCAUCACCUGCAAGUGACUUUCCAUCUCUGUCCUCUGUUUUCUUCUGUCUUCCUGUGUCAUCUCUGUGUAUGGCUCUUCCUUGUUUGUGCCUGUCUCCCCCUUUCUGGUCCCUUCUGUAUGUCUGUGGAUCAAACCAAGGUCUAGAAAAAGUGUCUCCGUGUGUGUGUGUGUGUGUGUGUGUGUGUGUGUUGGUGGGGGUACACUAUGCAUCAUGUGGUGCUCCACAAGUCUCUCUGCCUUCGGUCCUCUCACUCUAUGCUGAAUCUCUCUGCCCGCCUGCCACAUGUGGCAUGAUCUGCAGGUGUGGGUGGCUAAAGGUGGCCAUGUGCAUCCCUAUGCAGGCCUUCAUCAUUUUUUCUCUUGAGUAUGCUUUAUAUACAGAUUUUUUAAUCUUCCUGAUUCUCUCCUUGUUCAUCUGCCCCUCUGCCUGUCUGUAUCUCUUUCCUGAUCUUUUUUCCUCCCUGCUGACCUCUUGAUUUGUCGUCUUCUAUCCUUGUUUCUGCCUGCCUCUUUACCUGCUUGCUCUUGUUAUGGUGUCUGCCUGCCUGCCUGUCUGCUCCUUCCUGACUGGCUGGCAGCCUUUUUCUCUCUCUGGUUGUCUGUCUGCUUCUCUGGCUGUUUGCCCACCACUCUCUCUCUAGCCAUCUGUCUCCCCGCCUGCCUGUCUCUAUCACUUUUUUUAGCCUGCAUCUCUUGGUUUGUCUACCUUCCAGGUCCUGCUAUGGCCAUCCCCAUCUUGGUUUGCCUCUUAUCUUGCCCUUCUACUUGUUCCUAUUUAUCUCUUUUCAUCAUUUUUCCUUGCUUCCCAUUAGUUCUGUCUUCUUGCCUGUCUUCCCUACUUGCUCUCUGUUCUCUUACUGCUUAAAGCCUGUAUCUUUUCCCUCUUUCUGUUUAUCACCUCUUUCUCCCUUGACUUGCUUUCUGCUAACAUCCCAUGAAGGGGGAUGGUCUCUCUCUCCAGACUUCUCAGUAACCCCUUCCUCCAAAGUCUUACCUGCUUUUGUAUCAUAUCUCCUACCCUGUCUUCUCUCACACUUGCUUUCAUUUCAGUCAUGUCUUUUUCUUUCUGCUUCCUAGACAGGCUGCCUACACCUCAGUCUUUUUGCCAUUCCCCUAGUCUCUAUUUUCCUGCCUUUUUACUGUCUGUUUGAUAGGCUCUUUCUUUAUGUCCACAUCCCUGCUUGCUUUUCUUUCUUUUUUUGUUUUAGUCCCCUCUUCCCCAAUCAGCUUUAGUCCCCUCUUCCCCAAUCAGCUUGUGUGUGUAUGUGUGUGUGGUGUUCGGGAUUGAAUGAAGGGCAUUGCAUGUGCUAGGCAAGCACUCUAUCACUGAACUAUAUCCACAAUACUUUUUAUUUUUUGAAACAGGGUCUCAUUAAGUGGCCCAGCCUGGCCUCGAACUUGAAAUAUUCUGGUCUCAGUCUCCUGAAUCGCUGAGAUUACUGAUUUAUGCUAUUGCGCCGAGCCUCAAUUAACUUUUGAAUAGACAUAACUGUGGUAUGAAAAUGUAAAAGUACUAGCAGUGUGCAAAGUAAACCUCCCAUUUAUUCGCUCCCUGGCCAUGAUUUCCUCUCCCAAGAGGCAGCCACUAUGUCACAUUUCUUGGAUAAUGCCUGAGAGAAGAAUCUAUACAUACACAAGUCUACUUGGUUUUGCUGUACUCCUUAUGUUUUUUUUUUUUUUUUCAGUUUUGCUGGAUGCUCCUUCCUAACUUUACAUGACUUGCCACCUCUUGCCUCUUGUCUUUCUGAUUCUACUUUAUGGAACUUCUGUUUUUGAUUGACUGUUGCNUACUCUAGUUUUCUCCCAUUCUUUUGAUCUCACUUUGCCCCUCCCUUGCUUCCCAUCCCAGGCCAGUAGAAUGGUCUCUUUCCUGGGCCAUUUCUCACCUCUGAAGUGUAAUUGCUGGCCCCCAGCCCUGCUCAAGAGCACAGCAGUCAGAAAGCAUUAGUGACAAGGGAAUACAAUAUAAAUUUUUGUUUAUAAGGCUAAAAUAAAAUGUUCAUUGUUGAUAUCCUACCCCGCUCCUACUACUGUACCUUAUUGAACAUUGGUUUCCCCUUUUUUCCCUAAUAAUUUGAACUGUGAAACUCUCUUUCCUAUGCUCCCAAAUCAUUCCUCUUCCAUUCAAUUUAGCUCUCUUGUCCGCUCUCUGAGUCUCUGUACUAGUUCAUCUGGGUAUCUCCUUUUUUUCUGAGUAUGGCUUUUCUAUGUGUGCAUCUUUAUUGUUUGCUAAUACUGUCUGUCUUGCCUUUGACUCUCAGUCUCCAUCACCUGCAAGUGACUUUCCAUCUCUGUCCUCUGUUUUCUUCUGUCUUCCUGUGUCAUCUCUGUGUAUGGCUCUUCCUUGUUUGUGCCUGUCUCCCCCUUUCUGGUCCCUUCUGUAUGUCUGUGGAUCAAACCAAGGUCUAGAAAAAGUGUCUCCGUGUGUGUGUGUGUGUGUGUGUGUGUGUGUGUGUUGGUGGGGGUACACUAUGCAUCAUGUGGUGCUCCACAAGUCUCUCUGCCUUCGGUCCUCUCACUCUAUGCUGAAUCUCUCUGCCCGCCUGCCACAUGUGGCAUGAUCUGCAGGUGUGGGUGGCUAAAGGUGGCCAUGUGCAUCCCUAUGCAGGCCUUCAUCAUUUUUUCUCUUGAGUAUGCUUUAUAUACAGAUUUUUUAAUCUUCCUGAUUCUCUCCUUGUUCAUCUGCCCCUCUGCCUGUCUGUAUCUCUUUCCUGAUCUUUUUUCCUCCCUGCUGACCUCUUGAUUUGUCGUCUUCUAUCCUUGUUUCUGCCUGCCUCUUUACCUGCUUGCUCUUGUUAUGGUGUCUGCCUGCCUGCCUGUCUGCUCCUUCCUGACUGGCUGGCAGCCUUUUUCUCUCUCUGGUUGUCUGUCUGCUUCUCUGGCUGUUUGCCCACCACUCUCUCUCUAGCCAUCUGUCUCCCCGCCUGCCUGUCUCUAUCACUUUUUUUAGCCUGCAUCUCUUGGUUUGUCUACCUUCCAGGUCCUGCUAUGGCCAUCCCCAUCUUGGUUUGCCUCUUAUCUUGCCCUUCUACUUGUUCCUAUUUAUCUCUUUUCAUCAUUUUUCCUUGCUUCCCAUUAGUUCUGUCUUCUUGCCUGUCUUCCCUACUUGCUCUCUGUUCUCUUACUGCUUAAAGCCUGUAUCUUUUCCCUCUUUCUGUUUAUCACCUCUUUCUCCCUUGACUUGCUUUCUGCUAACAUCCCAUGAAGGGGGAUGGUCUCUCUCUCCAGACUUCUCAGUAACCCCUUCCUCCAAAGUCUUACCUGCUUUUGUAUCAUAUCUCCUACCCUGUCUUCUCUCACACUUGCUUUCAUUUCAGUCAUGUCUUUUUCUUUCUGCUUCCUAGACAGGCUGCCUACACCUCAGUCUUUUUGCCAUUCCCCUAGUCUCUAUUUUCCUGCCUUUUUACUGUCUGUUUGAUAGGCUCUUUCUUUAUGUCCACAUCCCUGCUUGCUUUUCUUUCUUUUUUUGUUUUAGUCCCCUCUUCCCCAAUCAGCUUUAGUCCCCUCUUCCCCAAUCAGCUUGUGUGUGUAUGUGUGUGUGGUGUUCGGGAUUGAAUGAAGGGCAUUGCAUGUGCUAGGCAAGCACUCUAUCACUGAACUAUAUCCACAAUACUUUUUAUUUUUUGAAACAGGGUCUCAUUAAGUGGCCCAGCCUGGCCUCGAACUUGAAAUAUUCUGGUCUCAGUCUCCUGAAUCGCUGAGAUUACUGAUUUAUGCUAUUGCGCCGAGCCUCAAUUAACUUUUGAAUAGACAUAACUGUGGUAUGAAAAUGUAAAAGUACUAGCAGUGUGCAAAGUAAACCUCCCAUUUAUUCGCUCCCUGGCCAUGAUUUCCUCUCCCAAGAGGCAGCCACUAUGUCACAUUUCUUGGAUAAUGCCUGAGAGAAGAAUCUAUACAUACACAAGUCUACUUGGUUUUGCUGUACUCCUUAUGUUUUUUUUUUUUUUUCAGUUUUGCUGGAUGCUCCUUCCUAACUUUACAUGACUUGCCACCUCUUGCCUCUUGUCUUUCUGAUUCUACUUUAUGGAACUUCUGUUUUUGAUUGACUGUUGCUAAUUACCUGCUUUUACUACCAGUACCAAAGGAAUUCUUAGAAAGGUCUUGUUCUCUCCUGAUCUCCUAUUCUACUCUACAUAGUUGUCUGGAAACAUACUCUUGGUCUCUUCAUUGCUGAAGUAUGUAUUAAUUGAGAAAAGAAAGACAUGAAUGCAUUAAAUGAAUAUACUAAAAACUACCAGAUAAAUAGUAGUACAAUUAAUAAGUACAGAUAGUUUGUAAGCUGUGCUUAAACACAAAUAGACAGUGGCCUGCUCUAUCUUUCCUUUUUAUCUAUAUGAAUUCUAUGAAGUCAUACCAACCUAGAUCCUUUGAGAGUUUUGUACUGUUUUGCUUUGGUACUGGGGAUUGAAGCCAGGGGAUCUUUACCACUGAGCCACAUCUCCAGGCCUUUUUACUUCUGUUUUGAUAAAGGGUCUCAUCAAGUUGCCCAGGCUAGCCUCACACUUGUGAUCCUCCUACCUCAGCCUCCAGAGUAUCUCAGAUUACAGGCAUGAGCCAGCUCCUUUUAGGUGGUUGACUUGGGCCUAUCCCAGAAGUUUCUUUCUCCUCAUCUCAACAGCUUUGCUCCUUAUUAAAAUGUCUCCUUUUUCAUCCUUCCUUCUGGAUCUUCUCCCAUGCUGCCUUAGAAACAUUAUAACUCUUUAGCAGGGAGACAAAGACUCAGCUUCUAACCAGGUCUCUUUGAGAAAGAUGAUAAGACUUUACAGGAUAUACUGUUCUUUCAUUUCUGCUUAUUUACUGUAUAUUCCUGAAUUCAACUGUUUUAGCCUCUUAUCUCUGUGUUGCUCUUCUUUCUCCCCCCACCACCCCUUCUCUUUUAUUUAUUUAUUUGUUUGUUUAUUCUUUCUUUGUAUCUGUCUUGGUCUUCAUUCUAGCUUUUCCUUCUGAUUGGCUACCUCUCCUCUCUUCUGUGUGAUUGACAUAUAUCUCUCCAUCACCCCAUCUGUCUGCUGGAUUCUCCCUGUCUGCCUGAAAUAAUUAUAAGGCACUCUGUUGUAUAAAACACUGUUAUCACUUUGUCUUCCUUCUUACCUUAUAGUUUUCUUCAUCAGUGUGCCUUUCUUCUCUCUCUCUCUUCUCCUUUCUGUUCACUUAUUUGUGUUUCCCUUGGUGAUCUUGCCUGCCUCACUGUGGUCAUUUUUUUCUGUCAACCUGUUUUUCUGCUAUCCUUCUUCUAUACCUGGUCAGUUCUUCUGUCUCUCCUUCUGUGUUUCCAAGUUUCUCUAUAUUUCUUUCACAUGUCUAUGCUUAUUAGGCCUUUUAUCUAUGCCUGUAUAUCCUACUGACUCUAGCUGCUUGUCUCCCUGCCUGUCAGUUUCAAUGUAGGCAUCACCCUCUGCCUUUUUCUGUCUUUCUGUACUUUAAAAAAAAAAAAAAAGAAAAGAAAAGACUGACUUUUUUUUAGCUGGGUAUGUUGGCACACACCUGUAAUACCAGUGGUUCAGAAGGCUGCGGCAGGAGGAUUGCAGAUUCAAAGCCAUCCUCACCAACUUAGCGAGGCUCUAAGCAUCUUAGUGAGACCCUGUCUUAAAAUAGAGAAGGCUGUGGAUAUGGCUUAAUGGUUAAAAACCCUUGGGUUCAAUGCCUGGUACCAAAAAAAGAUUUUUUAAAUUAAAUCCAGGGCUGGGGAUGUAGCUCAGUGGGUAAAGUGCUUGCCUUGCAUGUGUGAGGCACUGGGUUCAAUCUUCAGUACCACAUAAAAAUAAACAAAUAAAAAAUAAAGAUAUUGUGUCCAUGUACAACUAAAAAAAAAUAAGUAAUUAAAUCCCUAUGAUUAAUGGAUAGAGACUUUUUAAAAAAAAUUAGACUUGUUAAGGUGAGAACAAGGAAUUCAGAUAUGCAGCUAUCAAAUGCAAAAUAGAAAUUAGAUGCUCCCCUGCACACAUACAAAAGGGAAAAAAAGGAAAAACAUUGAGGGGACUCCCCAACCAAUAAUAUUAUUAUGUAAAGAAAAAUCAAGAAAUUUAUUUGGAUUAGAAAUUAUUUUUCCCCAGGAAAAAAACUAUAUAUAUAUAUAUAUAUAUAUAUAUAUAUAUACACAUACAUAUAUAUAUAUAUACACAUACAUAUAUAUAUAUAUAUAUAUAUAUGUAAUAUCAUAUAUAUGUUCAUGAUGUUAUGAAUACCCUGAAGUCUGUGACCUCAGGUUAAAAUUGAUAUAGGAAACUAAUAAGUAAAAAUGCACAGAAUUGUGCUCAUACAACAUGUAGAUUGAAGUAUUAAAAACACUGUAAUCUAUGAUUUUCCAAAUAUGUUACUGAUAAUAAUGAAAGGCAUGUAAAUUCUCAGGAUAUUUUAGACUCAAUCAUGGAAUUAUAGCAACGGGGAGUCAUCUAAAUCAUUGGUUGCCACUUGUCCUUUCCCAAAAAGCCUAUCCUUUAUUCUGAAUUUUUUUAUUUCUUCUAUAUAUUUUCAUGUAGGAUAAAUAUGUAGCAUACUACAUUUAGCAUAUAAUAAAUAUAUGUACAUAUAUUUUUAUGUUACAUAUUCUACAUAUCAUAAGUAUUAUAUAAAUGUACACACAUAUUUAUAAAUUAACAAUUACAUAUGCACCCAAACUUUUAUAAUGCUAAAAAUGUCCUUUGUAAAAGUAAGAUAGAUCUGUAUGGAAGAAGGUCCAUGAGUGGAUUUUAGAGAGAGAGCAAGAGAAUGGCUUUAAAGUUUUUGUUUAUUUACUUAUUGCAGUAGAGGGGUUUGAACCCAGGGGCAUUCUACCAUUGAGGUACAUCACCAGUUCUUUUAUUUUGAGACAGGAUCUGGCCUGCAACUUGUGAUCCUCCUCCCUCAGUCUCUUGAGUAGCUGUGCCACCAUACCUGGCUGAAAAUGACUUUUUAAUAUUUCCUAUACAAUUUUAAAAUUUUUUCAGACUAUAUUUACAUGUUUUAUAAUUAUAAAACAUUUAAAAUAUCUUUUUAUGAAGUAAUGAUGAUGAGUAUGUGUGUCAGGGUUUUGUGGUUCUUAAUGUCCUUAACAUAGUGAAAAGUCAGGAACCCCAUGUUGAGCACUCAACCACUGAGCCACAUUCCUCGGCCCUUUUUUAUAUUUUAUUUAGAGAUAAGGUCUCCCUGAGUUGCUUCGGGCUCACUAAUUUGCUAAGGCCGGCUUUGAACUUGUGAUCCUCCUGCCUCAGCCUCCCAAGGUGAAGAUUACAAGCCUGCAUCACAAUACCAACCCAGCUGAUGAACUUUUCUUUAACUUAAAUAAAUUUUUUAAAAGUAAAUUUUAGGGCUGGGGCUGUAGCUCACUGGUAAAGCACUUGCCAGGCAUGUGUGAGGCACUGGGUUUGAUCCUCAGCACCACAUAAAAAUAAAUAAAUAUUAUGUAUCUAUCUACAAUUAAAAAAAAAAGUAAAUUUUAUAUUAAUGGAAAUAAUAUCCAUAAAUCUUUGAUUAGAUUUGGUAAUUAUAGCUUCCUGAUUUAUUUUAAAUUACAACUAAUUAUUAAAAUAAAAUCAAUAAAAAUUAAAGUGGGGCUGGGGUUGUAGCUCUGUGGUAAAGCACUUGCCUUACAUGUGUGAGGCACUGGGUUUGAUUCUCAGCACCACAUAUAAAUAAAUAAAAUAAAGGUCCAUGGACAACUAAAAAAAAAAAUUAAAGUGUCUUCCAUGCUACUAAUGGUACCCAUACCACAUUUUUAGGUUCAGAAACUGGAGCUUAGAUAUUGAUAGGAUUGCCUAAGAUCAAUUAUUAUUAGUUAAGGACAGAACCAGGACUUGAAUCUAUCAAUUGCUAUUCUAGUGUACUUUGUAUUAUAUACUAUAUGACUUCUGAGUCAAUAGGAUGUCCUAUGGUUUUAAAGGAAACCAAAAUUGAAGGUCACAUUGUAUUACUAUUAUUAACUUAUAACAGUUAUACCACAGAAUUGGCAAAGGUCAAUUUAAUUGUAUUUAUUAUACUUUUUUUUUUUUUCAGUAGUGGGAUUGAAUACAGGAGUACUCUACCACUAAGCUACACCCACAAAUCUUUUAAAAUUUUUUUCAUUUUGAGGCAGGGUCUGACUAAGGUGCUGAGGUUGUCCACAAAUUUGGGAUCCUCCUGCCUUAGACUCCCACAGAGCUGGGAUUAGAGGUAUGCACCACCAUGUACAGUUUAUACUUACAAACUUUUUUUUGACACAGGAUUCCACAACUACUACUACUACUACUACUACUACUAUUACUACUACUACUUCUUCUUCGUCGUCUUUUUUUUUUUUUUGGUAGUUGUAGAUGGAUAGCCCUUUAUUUAUUUUUAUGUGGUGCUGAGGAUCAAACUCAAUGCCUCACACAUGCCAGGCAAGCGCUCUGCCACUGAGCUCCAGCUCCAGCCCACAAUUCGACUUCUUACCAUCUAUUCUCUUCUCUUUUUGAGGUUCUGGGGAUUGCACCCAGGACCUAGCACAUGCCAGGUAAAUGUUCUGCCACUGAGCUAUAUCCCUAGCUCUUUUAGAAUUUUGAGACAGAGUCUCACAAAGUUGCCCAGGGUGGGCCUCCUGCCUCAGCUUCCCAAGUUGCUGGGAUUAUAGAUAUAUGCUACCACAUCCUCCUUAGCACCUACUUUUGGGAAAUAGUAGAUGUUUCUCAUCACACUUGUACAUAAAAUGACAUGUGCAAAGAUGUUCAUUAUAACAGUGUGUAGCAAAAACUUCUGAACACCCUAAAAUCUCCAAUAGUAAGGAAUAGCUAAGCAAACUACACAACAAUCAUGAAAAGUGAGUUACAUCUGUAUAUAUAAAUAGGGUCAGAUUCUUCAAUAUACAGUUGCAUGGAAAAAAACAGGCUACAAAACAGUAUUUACAUUAUGAUACUUGUUAAUUUAUUUGUGUUUUAAAAAAAUUAAAAACAAUUUUAAAUAUUUCUAGAGAUAUAUUUUUAUUUAUAAAAUUGCCUUUUAAAAUUCUGAAGGUACACAUAUCAAAGAUUUUUAAUUUGUUAAUUCUGAAUUUUUACAAUGAGAAAGUUUAAUUUGUGUAAACACAUUUAAUUGAUCACAUUAGCAAAUGGAGCUAAAUGAGAUAAAAAGUAGUCUGAUUUCUCUAAAGAAAUCACUCCUUAUUAAUCUCUGGUCCUUUGAAGAGAAAAACAUGUAAGCAAAGUAUAAUCAGUGGAUAUACUGAUAUGCUUUUGAAAACAUUAGAGAAGUUCCACUUUAAAGACUAAUUAAAGUAUGAGGAGGAAAAGGAAAGAUAUAGAAAAAUAUAUAUAUAUUUAUAAACAUGAUGCCAUUUGUGAAAGAAAAAAUAUGUGAAUAUCCACAGGGUGUACUUAGAAGAAUAUACAAGAAACUAUAGUAGUUGCUAUUGGGAAGGUAAAUUUAUUUUUUUAUCUUUUCAAGCAACUUGAAAAUGUUGUCAAGCAACUUUUUAAGUGACCAAGAGAUUGGCUAGGUAGAGGGAGGAGAUCAGACAUAAACACAAAAAAAGCUAAAUAUGAAUAUGUGAUUUUGAUUAUUGCUAUGGGCUGUAAAAUCUAAGUGUUUGGAGAAGAAAUCUUGCAUGGGGGUGGUGGGGUGGAGAGUAGAGGGAGUCAGUGAAGAACUUUCAUAUGUAAUUGUGUUUGUGUUUGAAAUUGGCCCCAAAAGAUAACUAGGAUCUAUAUAGCAGACAGGAAAAGCAAGGGCAGUCUAGGUUGAAUAAGAAAGCAUUUAGCAGGUGGCAUUGGAAGUCAUCUGACUGGAGUGGUAAUUUCAUAAUAGAAAAUUAUAGUAGAGUAAGAAUGUUGGAAUAUAAAGUGAAGAGUAGAGGCCAGAACCUUGGGGGAACUUUGAAAGACGGAGGCAAGGAGGAGAAGAGAAACAAACCAAAGAAAAACAAAUUGAGAUGUACCAGAUAUUGUUACUAUGGAAGAAUAGAAACACAGCUUCCAAAAGAAAGACAGGAUACUUGCUGCCAGAUGCUACGUGGAAGUCAAGAACAAUACAAACUGACUGUUCCUCAAAAAUUUAAAUAUUGGCCAAGUAUAGUGACACAUGCCUAUAAUCCCAGCUACUUGGGAGACUGAGGCAGGAAAAUCUUAAGUUCCAGGACUCAGUGGCCCAGCAACUUAGUGAGAUACUAUCUCAAAAUAAAAAAAUAAAAAAGACUGGGGUUGUAGCUCAAUGGUAAAGCACCUCUGGAUUCAAUCCCAAGUACCACAGGGAGAAAAACAAAGUUACCAAAUAUAGUCUGGCACAGUGGUACACACCUGUAAUCCUAGCAACUGGAGCGGCUCAGGCAUGAGGAUCCCAAAUUUGCAUCAGCAUGGGCAAUUUAGCGAAACCCUGACUCAAAAUUUAAAAACAAAAAGGGGUUGGGGUUUUUUUUUAGCUCAGUGGUAGAGCACUUACCUAGCAUGCACAAGGCCCUGACUUCAAUCCCCAAUACUGGCUGGCUGGAUAAAUAAAUAAUCCAAAUAUAUAUAUAUAUAUAUAUAAAAUAUAUCACACACACACACACAUACAUACAUACAUAUAUACACACACACCAGAAGAAGGAAGAGAGUAUGAAUAGGAGACAGUGGUCACGAAGUUUGGUAGUCCCAAAUAGAUAUUUUAAAGUAAUAUAUAAAAUAGACCUGGAAUCAUCACAUCACAUACCUGAGUGAAUCUAAUUCUUUAUCUCCAGGGUUAUUUCCACAUUCCCCCAUCUUGUAUAAAAAGCUUAUAUUCCUUGAAGGCUCCUGCAGUCUAGCUGUAUAUUCCUUAAUCUCUCUCCUACACUGUCAACCACUUAACCUCCUGACCAUUCCUCUCAUUCACGGAAGAUACUGGCUUAGUUCUGCCAUCAUCAUGGGUCACCUUAGGAUCCAUAUGAAAGAUCCUUUUAUCACCCUCUCAGUUCCUCGAAACCCUGAUUUCCAGAGACCUUAUUCUCCAUCCUACUUUUGCAUCCCCAGCCUUUGUACCUACCUCUUUUGUAAUAUUAAAUUCAAGCCUCCGUUUUGGCUACAACUUUGUAUUUUUCUAGCUCUCUCGUUUACUUAUAUCUUACUAUUCCUGGACCCCCAUGAGACAUUCUAUCUACCUAACUCUUAAUUUUCUCCUAAUUAUUUCUCCUCCAUUCUGUCUUCACCUCCUUUCCUGACCAGUUUAUUUUUUAAAGUAUUUAUUUUUUUGUUGUAGUUGGACACAAUACCUUUAUUUUACUUAUUUAUUUUUAUAUGGUACUGAGGAUCGAACCCAGGGCCUCACAACGUGCUAGGCAAGCGCUCUUGUCCAGUUUAAAUUCCAUGGUCUUUCAUUUCAACAACUCUCCUGCCAGUGCUGGUGCCCAUUUCUCAUUUUCUUUCUUGGAAACCCCUUGCCUUGGUGCACUUCAAAGUGCUGUGGAAGAAAAUACCAUAACCAUUCGGACUAGUAUCCCUGCUCAGAAAACCUUAUUCCAAAUCAUUUUCCUUUUUGAGUCAGUUCUCCACAGUGACUUAUUCAAAUUCCUCAGGCUUCUUCCUUAUACUCAUUUGAUCUUAGUCAAAAGGCUAUGUUUUAGUCAGCUUUUUUUCACUGCUGUGACCAAAAGACUUGAAGAAAAGUUUAUUUAGGGGGCUCACAGUUUCAGAGUCUCACUCCAUGAUAGCCAACUCCAUUGCUCUGGGCCCAAGAUGACUUAGAACAUCAAGGUAGAAGAUUGUAACAGAGGAAAGCAUAUCUGAACAAGACCCCCAAGAAGCACAGAGAGAGUUCCACUCUCCAGGGGCAAAUAUAUAUUCAAAGGCACCCUCCCAAAGACCCAUCUCCUCCACCCUGCCUAUAGUUACCACCCAAUUAAUCCCUAUCAGGGGAUCAAUAUACUGAUUAGAUAAUGUUCUCAUAACCCAAUAAUUUCAACUCUGAACUUUCUUGCAUUGUUUCACACAUGAGCUUUUGGGGGAUACCUAAUAUCUAAACUAUAACAGGCUGAGAAAUGAUCUCUUCCUUACACUCAAAUUAGGAAGUCUUAUCUACUUCCAGGAAAUAGGAGGAAAGAAUGAGAGCAAGAGCACAAGUGAAGGGAUUAACUUCAGACAGGUCAGAAGGGAAGAAGGAAAGGACAAACAUGCAUAUUGUUAAAUAUGUAGGUUUAACAUCAGUAUUUUGAAGGAGUUCUCUUCUGAUUAAACAGCUAUAUUAAAAACAAAAAUUUAAAAGAACUAGAAUGUGACAUAAGAAAAUAUUUUCCUGGAGGUAAAAAUGUCUUAAACUUGGGGCUGGAGUUGUAGCUCUGGAGUAGAGUGCUUGCCUUGUAUGUGUGAGGCACGAGUUCGAUUCCCAGCACCACAUCUAAAUAAGCAAAUAAAAUAAAGGUCCAUCAACAACGAAAAAAAAAAAAAAUUUAAGUCUUAAGCUACAUGAGUAACAGCCAUAAAGUAAAAUACUUACAGAUUUACUCAAUAAAAUUAGCUGGGUGUGGUGAUACAUACCUGUAAUAUCAGCGGCUAGGGAGGCUGAGGCAGGAGGAUCAUGAGUUCAAAGCCAGCCUCAGCAAUGGUGAGGUGCUAAGCAACUCAAUGAGAUCCUGUCUCUAAAUAGAAUAUAAAAUAGGGCUGUGGAUGUGGCUUAGUGGUUGAGUGCCCUAGUUCAAUCCCCAGUACAAAUAAAUAAAUAAAUAAUUUUACUCUAUACAAAACAUCACAAACAAGGUUAAAAGAAAAACCAGGAAAAUAUUUAUACUAUUUAUGACAAACUGCUCAUUCAGUAAAUAGUGUGUGCUUUAGAGAACUUGGAGGUAACAGAAGCAAUUUUAGUUCCUUUAAGCAAAAAGGGAUUUUAUGCAGGAAGUUAACUUACAAAAUUGUUGGAUAGGCCAGAGAAGCACUGUAGUCUGGGCUUCCAGAGUGAACAGAACAUUGCAAAACUGACCCACCAGAAAUCUACUUCCUGUCUGUGCCACCACACUAGCUUUAGUGUUUGUUUUCUUGUUGAAAUAAAGACAUCAGAUAAAUCAAAAUAUAAAGUAAAUAAUUUAUGUGUAAAAAAUGGAUGAUGAUUGCUAUUUGGGGGAUAGGUACUGGGGAUUGAACCCAGGGGCACUCAACCACGGAGCCACAUCCCCAGCCCUUUUUUGUAUUUUAAUUAGAAACAGGGGCUCCCUGAGUUGCUUAGGGCCUUGCUAAAUUGCUGAGGCUGCCUUUGAACUUGUGAUCCUCCUGCCUCGGCCUCCUGAGCUGAUGGGAUUAUAGGCAUGUGCCACCACACCCAGGUAUGAUUGCUGAUUUUUAUGAAGUUUUACUUUGUAAGUGAAAUACCCUAAGUAAGUACUUAAUAUGUACUAACUCACUUAUUCCUUCCAAUAACCUUAUAAAAUAGAAAUUAUCAAUCUCCAUUUUGCAGAUGAGGAAGCAGAGGUAAAAGAAGAUUAAAUAAACUGGAUUCAGUGGUACACAUCUGUAAUCCCAGCUACUCAGGAUGUGAAGGCAGGAUUAUCACAAAUUCUAGACCAGUUUGGGCAAUUUAGAGAGACUCUGUCUCAAAACUAAAGAGGGCUGGGGAUGUAGCUCAUUGUAAAGUGGUAAAGUGCCCCUGGGUUUAAUUUCCAGUGGCCUCUUCCCCAUCCUCAGAAAAAAAAAGGAGAUUAAACAUCUUAUCUAAGACCAGAGCUACUAAGAGGUAAAACAGGCAUUUAUAUACCCAAAUUCAUGGACCAGAGUAAACCUGAAGAAAAGGUGAAAAUGCAGAUGAUAUGAUAACUCAAGGAUUGAAAUGCUAUUGUUAAAAUCACAGGAAUUGAGAUAGAAGUUGGCUUUAAGGGGGUAUAAUGUAUUUGUUUCUCGAAGUCCUUAGCUUGAUAUGUGAUGGGUUUUUUGUUUGUUUGUUUUUGAUAGCAGGGAUUAAACCCAGGAUGCUCUACCACUGAGCUACACACCCAACCUUUUUUUAUUUUUUAUUCUGAGAUGGGGUCUGUCUAAGUUCUGGUUCUCCUGCUGUAGCCUCACAAGUCACUGUAAUUAUAAGCAUGCUGCUUAACAUUGCCUUUUAACAACUUCUUGAUGUAGGUUGAGUUCACAUCCCUAAUCCAAAAUCUGAAAUGCUUCAAGAUCCAAGAGCACCAACAUAGUGUCCACAGUGAAAGGUUCCUCUUAUGACGGGUCACAGUCAAAAUGCAGGCACAUUAAAAAUAUUUUAUCAAAUUACCUUCUGGCUAUGUGUAUAAUGUAUAUAUGAAACAUAAAUGAAUUUCAUGUUUAGAAUUGGAUCCCAUACCCACAAUGUUUCACUAGUAUAUUCAAGUAUUCCAAAACCUGAAAAAAUUCAGUAUCUCAAAUGUUUGUUUCAAGCAUUUGGGAUAAGGAUAGCCUAGGUUUCCCAAUAGCUGGCCAGUUUGAAAUGUCUUGCUCUUUCCAUCUAUUGUCAAGCCAUAGUAGUCCCAGUAAUAUUGCCCUGACACUUUUCCCACUGAUUACUCUUCAGAUUAUAGAUGUGUUAUAGUGCUAACCUCAGCUGUCAUCCUCUUGCCCCUCCAUUUGCUCUUGGCCCUUUGCUACUAUCUAACUUUCUGUGUAAGGAAUUAUAUUAAUUUCAGACUAAAUUUGAUAUAAUUCCCAAGUUAAAACCAACUAAUUUUUUUUAAAAGAUUCUAUGUCCCCAAACUAUUUAACUUCUGAAAUAUGUUCCAGAGCCAAUAAUGAAGCUACCUAAUCUGUCCAUAAGAGGAAGAGUUGGAGCUAUACAGUCAGAGAGAUAACCAAGCUCUAUACUUACUAACUUUCACCCUGGGAAAGUUGUUUAUCCCUUAGGUGUCAGUAUCCUCAUCUGUAAACCAGCCAUCCUCACAAGGUUGUAGCAAGAAUUAAAUGAGCUAACUUACAUAAGGCACUAGGUAUAAUAAGGCACUCGAUAAUUGGUAGCUAUUAUUCUAAACAAUCAAAUUUACCAUUUAGCCAUUUCUCACUUCAGAAUGAUUCACUUAAGAUAACUGCAAAUUGAGAGGACUCACAACCUGGAUUAUAUAGCACCUUAAACUGAAGGAGCAAAGAGGCUGACUUUAGUUACUCUUGUUUCUUAUAGUUAGCCCUGUUUCCUUGCUUUCCCUCAGUUGGUAUGACAUAAAACUGCAUUUUACUUGACUCAAAUUUUCUCACAGAAAUUCUAACUGAAAUCUUAGUCACAAAUAUGGUCUACUAAUUUUUUGAUUAUGACAGAUGGACCUGAAUGCUGAAUGUUACCAAAUCUCAGGAAUUUCCAAGGGAAGUAUUUGUUACUAAAUAGUGAUUAACACAAGGAAUGGGAAAGAAAACUAAAACUGGUUAGUGGUAGUGUCUUUUCCAAGGAUGUUUAUAGUGCUAGGAAUUUUACCAUACUUUAUCUCAUUUAAUCUUUUCAACAACAUUAUAAGAAACUUUCAUUUAGGGUGAACAUGUCCAGGGUUAUGUCUAUUGUCCUUACUGUUACCUUCUAUCAUCCCUAUUUUAUGAUUGAAGAAAUGGAAUCUAAUGAAAGGUUGGUAUUCUGUACAUGUUACAAAACUCUCUUCUGCAGUUGGGUUUUUAGAUUCUCAUAUCCCAUGUGUAUAGCCUAACAAAACCACCAAUGAUCUGCUAUUUGCUAAAUCCAGAUACUCCCGUCAUCAUAUUACUAUUUAGCCUCUGUGCAGUAUUUCACACUUUCCGUCCUCUCAAGUAUUCUCCCUUUAAUUUGCAUGGCAUCCUUUUCCAGUUUCCCUGUCACUCUCCAGCUCUUCCCUGUGAGUCCCCUUUUCCUCCUCCCCUCCCUUAGAUAUUGUUUCUCCUAGGUCCUCUGCUUAGAUCAGAAUUCACUUUUUUUUUUCCCCCGUAACAAGAUAUUGAACCCAGGAUCACUUAACCACUGGGCCACAACCCCAGCCCUUUUGUUUUUGAUAUAGGAUCUUGCUUAGUACUUAGGCCCUUGCUAAGUUGCUGAGACUGAUCUUAAACUUUCGAUCCUCCUGCCUCAGCCUCCUGAAUCACUAGAAUUACAGGCGUGCACUAUGGCACCUGACCCAGACUGCAUUCUUGAGAUGAUCUCGUCCUGUCUUUGGCUAUUAUAACUAUCUGCUAACAAUUCCCAUACCUGUAACUCUGACCCAGAGCUUUCCAGUCCCAGGGUUUGGACAUGUGUACUUUCAUGUCCCAGAAUAUAAGGAUAUAGCCAGCUAAAAUUUCAUUUUUUCAUCUUCCAGCAUUCUCCUUUUCUAUCACUGGACUCACCAUCCUCUCAGCUGCCCAUACACCUGGUGUCAUUCUUGGGUCUUCCCUCUCUCUCAGACUUCUACCCAAUAAAUUACCCAGUAACUUUCGUCCAUCUUCUCUGACCACUACCACUAACCUAGUUCCAGUUGCCUUCAUUUGUCCCCAGACUACUGAAAGGGCAUCAGGCCACCCUGUCUCUACUUUUUCCUCUCCAUUCCAUCCCUUCUUGGCAAUGUAGUUAAGUCACUUUUUUUUUUUUUUUUUGGCGGGGGGAGGUGGUACUGGCAGUUCAACUCAUGGGCACUGAUCCACUGAGCUAAAACCCAAACCCUUUUUAAAUUUUAUUUAUUUAUUUAUUUUCGAGACAGGAUCUCACUAAAUUGCUAAGGCUAGCUUCAAACCUGUGAUCCUCCUGCCUCUGCCUCCUGAGCUACUAGAAUUCCAGGUGUAUGCCACCAUGCCUGGCUUCAAGCCACCUUUUUAAAAGGCAAAUCUGAUUAUGUCCUCCCUACAAAAUCCUUAAGCCUGAUUGAAUAUUUUUAAGUAUUUAUUUAUGUAUUUAUUUUGUGGUGCUGGAAAUGGAACUCAAGUUCUCAUGCAAGCUAGGGAAGUACUUCAGUUGUAUCCUUUAAAAGGAUGAAUUUUAUGGUUUGUGAAUUAUGUAUCAAUUUUAAAAAAAAUGACCUGGUUUGGCUUUUAUAUUCCUCAUUACCCCCACAACUGGCCACAUCCCCCUCCUCUCAGCUUUACCAUUCUGCAUUUUUCUUCUUUUGAGCUUACAUUAUCACCUCUAAUGUUUCCACAUGCUAUUUAUUCUCUGCAGGAAGCACUCUCUCCCCACCUCUCUCCCUUACCCUCCUCUUCAUUAUUUGGCUAACUCCAUGCCCUUUAGCUCUCAGCUUGAGAAACCUCCCCAGAAAGCCUUCCCUUAUCCCCCUGAAGGGAUUAGGUGCUCCUGCUAUGUACCCUGAGGCAUUUCAUACUUGGCUCUUCUAUAGUAUUUAUUACAUAUUUGCUCAUUCUAUGGAGAGCUACUGAAUAGCUGCUCUGGGAUGGGCAGUGGGCCAGGUGCUAGGUUUUGGUGGCAAGUAAGAGCCGUCCUCAUGGAGCUUACAGUCUAACAAGGGAGGAAGAUGGACAUUAAACAAUUAUACUAAAUGUUUUAAUUAUAGUUAAGAUGUUUCAGAACACUCUUGAGAGGGUAUGACAAGAAAUGUGACACUAUUUGAGGGAUCAAGGAACACUCUCUAGGAAAGUGACAUUUGAUUAAGCAACUUUAAUAGGAGUUGGCCAAAGGAAGAGUGGAAGGUGGAGUGCUCCAUGCAGAGGAAGAGCAUGUGAGAAUGCUCUGACAUGAAAGAGCUUAGGGGAAUUUCAGAAAUGGAAAGGCCAAUAUAGGAGACCAAAAAGAGCCUAGAAAGCCAAAUCAUGCCAGUCCAUGUGGAACAUGGUAAGAGUUUCUAUUUAAGAGAAGUACGAAGCCUUAUAAGGGAAGUUUAAAAUUCCCCUUGACUACUGUGUAAAAGUGGAAACAGGAUAACAAGACGCUCCCCAGUGUCUCAAUCUCCCACCAAUCUGUAAGCUCUGUGAGGGCAGAAAUUGUGUCUUACUAAGUUCAGCACCAUGCCUAACAAAUCAGAGAGUUAUUUUAAUGAAUAAAUGAAUGAUUAGGGCCAACAUUCCAGCUUAGGUUUUCAAGAAAGACCAUGCUCAUUUCUCAAAAUCCCAUUUCCCCUAUACAUAACCCUGCAAAGACCAACUCUUUAUCCCAACUCUAGGCUGGGUUAGCAUGUACCUCCUUUUGUUUCCAGUGUAUCUGUGAUAGAUUGUAUUUUCCCAAACUGGCCAAAAUAUCUCACAGCCCAUCUUCCAGUGUAAUGUUGAUACUCCCUACUGAGAAGUGAAGUCUUAUUCCCUCUCCUUGAAUCUGAAGUUAGGUCAUAUAAUUCAUCUUCCUCCUGAUUCUCUUAGGUAGCUCACUCUUAGAACCAUGCAGUGAGGAAACCCAGACUUCCCUGUAGAGACCCACAUGGAAACAGAUAGGUUGGCUAUCUUGAAAGUGCAUCUUCUAGUUCCUAGUGAUAUAGCCCAGUUUACAAUUUUUGGAGUAGAAAAGCUGACCCUACCAAACCCUGCCUAGUUUCAUUAGUAAAAUAAGUAAUGGUGGUUGUAACCUUAAGCCACACAGUUUGGGGACAGUUGCCUAAACAGCAAUAGGUAACUGAAACAGCAUCCUACAUUCAACACACAGUGAUGUGAUACAACUCAGUGGUUAGGUAAAUGGGCUACAACUGCCUUUGUUCAAAGCCUACUUCUAUUACUUUGUUGCAUGACUAUUGGCGAGUUGCUCAACAUUUCUGUGCUUUCAUAUUCUUUUGUCAAUAUAGUACUUAAGUUUGUUGAGAGAAGUGAUUUAGUACAGGUAAAUGUAUUAAUGAAUAUGUAUAUGAAUACAUAUAUAUGUGUAUGUAUAAAUGUAUGUAUGUAUAAUUUUUAAUACUAAAAUGAUCUUAUCUGCUUUAUUGUUCAUCUCACCAGAGUAUAAGCCCCAAUAAAGUAGGAACCUUGUUUGUCUGAUUCACUACUAUAUCCCCAGUACCUGGAACAUUGCCUAGCACAAAGUGCAUAUAAUAUUUUUUGUCAAUGAAUGUAUGCAUAGCACUUUUCAUACUACUUGUGGAAGAUGUCUCUGGUUCCUAUCUAUUCUCUCCUUCCAGAGUAGUAGAUCCUGCUUUUGUUGUGAAUGUCAUGAAAUACUAUCCCAGAUUCCUUGGAAUCUAAGGAUCAUCAUGUUAUGAGUUUUCUAUCAGUAAGAUGUAGUCAAAAGUCUGCUAAGGAUAUCUGGGAAAUUUUUUGCUGUCUUAACCUAGGUAUUACCCUUUCUUCUGUCUCCUUUCCCUCCUUCCUGCUUUCAAUACAGGCUAAAAGUAGAACAGCCAAAAAGUUGAUGAGCAUGAAAACAAGAUGGAGAAAUAGGAGAUACUGAUGAUCUAGUGAAGUCACUGUUCCACUAACUGCAGACUUCUAAGAAGACACUUAGCAACCCUUUGUAUUUAAACUCCAACAGCCAGGUUUCUGUUACAUGUAGCUAAAUAAAUGGUCUGUUAUGGAAUC
rnacentral:lncRNA from 1 species